CUGAAAUUAACUGACUAACGCAACAACAAGCAUGACCUGUGCCUUUCCAAACAGAGGAUCUGGAGAGAUGGCUCGGAGGUUUAGAGCACUUUCUGCUCUUAGAAAGGACCCAAGUUUAGUUACCAGCACCCAUAUCAGAUGAUUCAAGAUCCAGUAACUGUAACCAGAACUCCAAUUCCAGGGAAUCUGUGGGCACCUGUGGGUACCUGAUGCGCCCGAAUGCACACUCAUUCAGGCACACAUACACACGUAAAUUUUUUUUUAAAAGGAAAUAAAUGGAAGAGACGAACGACAAGCGUGUCAGGAACAGGAGGCAGCAAGCCACAUACGUCACGCUGUCAUGCUUUCUUUGGGAAGCAGUGAAGAUUCUCAAGACGAGUAACAAAAUACAAAGAAGGUUUCACGUGCAGUGACUCAUGCUAGACCCUGUCUCAAAAACUAUAUUGUAAUUCUCAGGUUGGCUUGAAAAAAAAAUAAACAGAGUCUUGCUAUCUUCCCCAUGCUGGCCUCAGACUCAGGGCAUAGUCUAGUCCGGCCCGGUGGUCAUGCUCUUCCUGCCUCUGCCUCCUGAGUGCUGGGAUCACAGGUUUAAGUCAACAGAGAAGAGGGAAAAGAGAGAGGAGAGGAAGGGAGGAGAGAGGCAAGGAGCAGGGAGAAGAGAAGGGCAAAAUGCUUCAUAUCAAAGGGAGGGAAAGACAGGUCAGAGGCGGAGAACAUCCAGGAUGGAGAGGAG
rnacentral:lncRNA from 1 species